UACGUAGGGGGCUAGCGUUGUCCGGAAUCAUUGGGCGUAAAGCGCGCGUAGGCGGCCAGAUAAGUCCGGUGUGAAAGCCACAGGCUCAACCUGUGAAUGCCGCUGGAAACUGUCUGGCUAGAGUCCGGGAGGGGCGAGUGGAAUUCCUGGUGUAGCGGUGAAAUGCGCAGAUAUCAGGAGGAACACCAAUGGCGAAGGCAGCUCUCUGGUACGUGACUGACACUGAGACGCGAAAGCGUGGGGAGCGAACAGG
rnacentral:rRNA from 1 species